GGGGGCGUCACGGUUUCGACGGGAUUGAUUGCGGCAUGGGAGGCAUGUCGGGGUGCGGGCACCCGUAAUCGCUUGCAAAAACAAAGUUGCCAACAACAAUCUGGCACUUGCUGCUUAAUUAAAUAAGCAGCCGUCCUCCGCGGCUUCGCCUAUGGGCUGCGGUCCGGACGUCAUUCAGUAGGCUGGCAGUUGCAGCUCGGUCCGUGUUGCAACUGUAAGAUCAUCGGACUAGCUUCAGGCGCAUCUUGUCCGUUCUGAGUUCCUGAAGCGAAAACAUGCGGAACCGGACAAAGCAUGAAUGCUCCCGGCUGACAACGAUUUCGGACGCGGGUUCGACUCCCGCCGCCUCCACCA
rnacentral:tmRNA from 1 species